CGCACGCGCAAACUUGGGCUCGCGCUUCCCGGCCCGGCGCGGAGCCCGGGGCGCCCGGAGCCCCGCCAUGUCGCGAUCCAACCGGCAGAAGGAGUACAAAUGCGGGGACCUGGUGUUCGCCAAGAUGAAGGGCUACCCACACUGGCCGGCCCGGAUUGACGAGAUGCCUGAGGCUGCCGUGAAAUCAACAGCCAACAAAUACCAAGUCUUUUUUUUCGGGACCCACGAGACGUGAGUGGAGGCCAAAGGGGUAUAGGUCGGGAGGGCCCCGGGAGGACUACUCUGGGGAAGGUGAGGUGGUGUUGGUGCCCCUUUCAUGCCGGGCUGUGCAGCUCAGGGGCAGUGAGGGGCUUGAGAGCACAGUCUCCCAUCUCUCACCAGGGCAUUCCUGGGCCCCAAAGACCUCUUCCCUUACGAGGAAUCCAAGGAGAAGUUUGGCAAGCCCAACAAGAGGAAAGGGUUCAGCGAGGGGCUGUGGGAGAUCGAGAACAACCCUACUGUCAAGGCUUCCGGCUAUCAGUCCUCCCAGAAAAAGAGCUGUGUGGAAGAGCCUGAACCAGAGCCCGAAGCUGCAGAGGGUGACGGUGAUAAGAAGGGGAAUGCAGAGGGCAGCAGCGACGAGGAAGGGAAGCUGGUCAUUGAUGAGCCAGCCAAGGAGAAGAACGAGAAAGGAGCGUUGAAGAGGAGAGCAGGGGACUUGCUGGAGGACUCUCCUAAACGUCCCAAGGAGGCAGAAAACCCUGA
rnacentral:lncRNA from 1 species